AACGAACGCUGGCGGCAUGCCUAACACAUGCAAGUCGAACGAGACCUUCGGGUCUAGUGGCGCACGGGUGCGUAACGCGUGGGAACCUGCCCUUAGGUUCGGAAUAACUCCCCGAAAGGGGUGCUAAUACCGGAUAAUGUCUUCGGACCAAAGAUUUAUCGCCUUUGGAUGGGCCCGCGUUGGAUUAGCUAGUUGGUAGGGUAAAAGCCUACCAAGGCGACGAUCCAUAGCUGGUCUGAGAGGAUGAUCAGCCACACUGGGACUGAGACACGGCCCAGACUACUACGGGAGGCAGCAGUGGGGAAUAUUGGACAAUGGGCGAAAGCCUGAUCCAGCAAUGACGCGUGAGUGAUGAAGGCCUUAGGGUUGUAAAGCUCUUUUACCCGGGAUGAUAAUGACAGUACCGGGAGAAUAAGCUCCGGCUAACUCCGUG
rnacentral:rRNA from 1 species